GUGGGGAAUAUUGGACAAUGGGCGAAAGCCUGAUCCAGCCAUGCCGCGUGUGUGAAGAAGGUCUUCGGAUUGUAAAGCACUUUAAGUUGGGAGGAAGGGCAGUAAGUUAAUACCUUGCUGUUUUGACGUUACCGACAGAAUAAGCACCGGCUAACUUCGUGCCAGCAGCCGCGGUAAUACGAAGGGUGCAAGCGUUAAUCGGAAUUACUGGGCGUAAAGCGCGCGUAGGUGGUUUUGUAAGUUGGAGGUGAAAUCCCCGGGCUCAACCUGGGAACUGCCUCCAAAACUGCAUAACUAGAGUACGGUAGAGGGUAGUGGAAUUUCCUGUGUAGCGGUGAAAUGCGUAGAUAUAGGAAGGAACACCAGUGGCGAAGGCGACUACCUGGACUGAUACUGACACUGAGGUGCGAAAGCGUGGGGAGCAAACAGGAUUAGAAACCCCUGUAGUCC
rnacentral:rRNA from 1 species